CUUUACUAUAGCUUGACACUGAACAUUGAGCCUUGAUGUGUAGGAUAGGUGGGAGGCUUUGAAGUGUGGACGCCAGUCUGCAUGGAGCCGGCCUUGAAAUACCACCCUUUAAUGUUUGAUGUUCUAACGUUGGCCCGUAAUCCGGGUUGCGGACAGUGUCUGGUGGGUAGUUUGACUGGGGCGGUCUCCUCCUAAAGAGUAACGGAGGAGCACGAAGGUUGGCUAAUCCUGGUCGGACAUCAGGAGGUUAGUGCAAUGGCAUAAGCCAGCUUGACUGCGAGCGUGACGGCGCGAGCAGGUGCGAAAGCAGGUCAUAGUGAUCCGGUGGUUCUGAAUGGAAGGGCCAUCGCUCAACGGAUAAAAGGUACUCCGGGGAUAACAGGCUGAUACCGCCCAAGAGUUCAUAUCGACGGCGGUGUUUGGCACCUCGAUGUCGGCUCAUCACAUCCUGGGGCUGAAGUAGGUCCCAAGGGUAUGGCUGUUCGCCAUUUAAAGUGGUACGCGAGCUGGGUUUAGAACGUCGUGAGACAGUUCGGUCCCUAUCUGCCGUGGGCGCUGGAGAACUGAGGGGGGCUGCUCCUAGUACGAGAGGACCGGAGUGGACGCAUCACUGGUGUUCGGGUUGUCAUGCCAAUGGCACUGCCCGGUAGCUAAAUGCGGAAGAGAUAAGUGCUGAAAGCAUCUAAGCACGAAACUUGCC
rnacentral:rRNA from 1 species